ACCUCACUGGCUCAAUCAGUAGAGCAUGAGACUUUUGAUCUUGGGAUUGUGAGUUUGAGCCCCAUGCUAGGUG
rnacentral:tRNA from 1 species